rnacentral:rRNA from 1 species
CCUACGGGUGGCUGCAGUGGGGAAUAUUGGGCAAUGGGCGCAAGCCUGACCCAGCAACGCCGCGUGAAGGAAGAAGGCUUUCGGGUUGUAAACUUCUUUUGUCAGGGAAGAGUAGAAGACGGUACCUGACGAAUAAGCCAUGGCUAACUACGUGCCAGCAGUCGUGGUAAUACGUAGGUGGCAAGCGUUGUCCGGAUUUACUGGGUGUAAUGGGCGUGUAGUCGGGUUGACAAGUCAGAUGUGAAAUCCUGCGGCUUAACCGCAGAACUGCAUUUGAAACUGUUGAACUUGAGUACUGUAGAGGCAGACGGAAUUCCGAGUGUAGCGGUGAAAUGCGUAGAUAUUAGGAGGAACACCAGUGGCGAAGGCGGUUGGCUGGACAGCAACUGACGGUGAGGCGCGAAAGCGUGGGGAGCAAACAGGAUUAGAUACCCGAGUAGUC